rnacentral:sRNA from 2 species
AAUUUACUAUCGCCGAAUUCCAAUUAAGGAAACGGGGGAUCCACUCGGGUGAAUUAAUCUGAAUGUCAAAGAUUAUAGGGAAACCCUCUUCCGAACCCUUAGCUAACCUCGUAGGCAUCGAAGGGAGAAAGU